GUUAUUGUAGCUUAUUAUAAAGCACGGCACUGAAAAUGCCAAGAAGAGAUUUUAAUCGUCUCCAAAAACA
rnacentral:tRNA from 1 species